GUACGACGGGCCGACGGCGUAACCGUAACACAGCAAGACGGACGGGACGGAUCGGGAGUAGCAAUACUGCCGGCGACCGGCGCAAGGGUGCGUAACGCGUGAGCAACAUGCCCGUAUCAGGGGGAUAAUCCAUGGAAACGUGGUCUAAUACCCCAUAGUAAUUAUGUAAGGCAUCUUAUAUAAUUUAAAGCUUUGGUGGAUACGGAUUGGCUCGCGUGACAUUAGCUGGAUGGUAAGGUAACGGCUUACCAUGGCUACGAUGUCUAGGGGUUCUGAGAGGAAGGUCCCCCACACUGGAACUGAGACACGGUCCAGACUCCUACGGGAGGCAGCAGUGAGGAAUAUUGGACAAUGGAUGGGAAUCUGAUCCAGCCAUGCCGCGUGCAGGAAGACGGCCCUAUGGGUUGUAAACUGCUUUUGUAUGGGAGCAAUAAGGGCUACGUGUAGUCCGAUGAGAGUACCAUACGAAUAAGCACCGGCUAACUCCGUGCCAGCAGCGGC
rnacentral:rRNA from 1 species